CCACCUACCGCAAAUUACUGGAGGGGGUGGAGAGCAGGAUUACCCUGCCGGUUCCAAGCUUUUCUUCCUUGAACCUGAGAGAAACCAACAUUGACUCCCACCCUUUGGUGGACACCCAUUCCAAGAGAAG